GAGCGUGUGUGGCAUGAUGGCGGCGCUGGCUGCUUGGCGGCGGCAUUCCCGCUCGCUUUUGCCCGCGCUGCUGCUGCUUGCUGCUGCUGCUGCUGGUUUGACGAGGCUACUCUGCUCGGUGCCGAAGCGCACUUGUGCGCGCGGCUCGUUUUUAGCCGCGUUGCAACCCUGCUUUAAUAUUGCCUUUCCUUUGCGCGAACAGCGCCGCGCGCAACGCCGUGUUUCUCCCGAUUCCCUGCCGAGAGGACGCAUUGACCCUCGAGAAGGGAUGGAAGCGAGAAGCCGCUGCACGUUAGCCGCGAGCAAUGGUACAAGUGCCGCAGCAUCCGUGAGGCGAAACCGGGCCACCUUGACCGCACUUCCCCAGGACGCUGGCGACACACCUUAACUGCACGCCGUGAUACGUCUUUGGAGGGGCCACAGAUAACAGAAGAGGAAGUUGAAGUGCGUGCGUUUGCGGGAAGCGUAUCUGCACGAGGACAAACAAGGGCGCCUUGUACGUGAUGGACAGCUGCGCGCGAAUAUGUGUGUGGACCGCCGAUGAUACCACGAGAUCCCUGAUUUCCUGUCUUUCCCACUAUAUGCGGUCCUGCAUGCGCAUCUGCGUGUGUCUUGAGCCGCGAUUCGCG
rnacentral:misc_RNA from 1 species